AAAGGAAAAAGACUGAAUCUGAAAAUUGAAGACCUUGAAGGUCAAAAAUGUCCUGUUACGUUGUGGGAUUCUUUUGCUGUCGACAUGUUUACUUACAUGAAUGACAAAAAACGCGAGAAAUAUGUUGUUAUCAUUUGCCACUUUGGUACAGUAAAUCUUUACAAGGGAAAGCGUGGAGUGGCCAACAGUUUUGAUCUAAGUAGACUUUUUAUUGAUAACGCUGACAUUGAAGAAAUUUCUUCUUUCAGAGAGAGGUAU